GCUCUCAUGGCCUCUGAAAAUGAGGCUUGGAGCAGAGAACCCAGUGAAUGCUUUCUUCUCGAUCAUCAGUGUGAUGAGAUCCAGAGCAAGCAGGGGCUAAUGCUGCUGUGAGCCUGAGGCCACACUUUCAGAAUUCAGUGAUGGGCGGAGGCGAGUGGUCACAGGAAGUAUUUUCUACGGCCCAGAGACGUUUUUGAUCAUCAUCACUGUGAGGAUGCUGGCAUCCAGGGGGUGGAGGCCAGGGAUGGUGCCAGACACCGUGUAAAUGUACAGGACCAUGCUUCCCACCAAGUAGUGAUCUGACCCCAAAUGUCAAUAGUGUGGAGAAUGAGAAACCUUUAGUUUCUUCAUGCAAUGUCCUUUUUAAACUUUAUGCCUCUCUUUUACCAAUUUUCCCCCUUCUUCCCGCUGAAACUGAGAAUAAAGAUGCUCUGGAGGUCGGGCACGGUAGCUUAUGUCUGUAAUCCCAGCAUUUUGGGAGACCGAGGCAGGCGGAUCGCUUGAGGUUAGGGGUUCAAGACCAGCCUGGCCAACACGGUGAAACCUUGUCUCUACUAAAAAUGCAAAAAUUAUCCAGGAGCCUGAGGCAGAAUUGCUUGAACUGGGGAGGCAGAGGCUGCAGUAAGCCGAGA